rnacentral:rRNA from 1 species
GCCUAAAGAGAAGCUUGCGGCUGAUUAGCUUGUUGGUGAGGUAAUAGCUCACCAAGGCGACGAUCAGUAUCUGGUUUGGGAGGACGAUCAGACACACUGGAACUGAGACACGGUCCAGACUCCUACGGGAGGCAGCAGUAGGGAAUUUUCCGCAAUGGGCGAAAGCCUGACGGAGCAAUACCGCGUGAGGGAUGACGGCCUAUGGGUUGUAAACCUCUUUUUUCAGGGAGAAAUAAAUGACGUGUACCUGAAGAAUAAGCAUCGGCUAACUCCGUGCCAGCAGCCGCGGUAAGACGGAGGAUGCAAGUGUUAUCCGGAAUCACUGGGCGUAAAGCGUCUGUAGGUGGUCCAAUAAGUCAACUGUUAAAUCUUGAGGCUCAACCUCAAAACCGCAGUCGAAACUAUUAGACUAGAGUAUAGUAGGGGUAAAGGGAAUUUCCAGUGGAGCGGUGAAAUGCGUAGAUAUUG